UCGGCACGGCCGAUCUAUGGUGGCGACGGCGCGCGGACCUCAAUCCCGCCCGAGCCCGAUCUGGGCUGAUCGCGGAUGGCCGCAGGGGCCAGGGCGACGCCGGCGGUGCACGGGGAUGGCCGGGACCGGCGGGGAUGGCGUCGGGGAUCCAACCACGGCCGGGGAAGAGCGGCCCGAGGCUGUGGGUGCCUUCCAAAAGCCAAAGGUCAGGAGGGUGGAGAAUCAGUUGAGAGAGAAUGAAGGAGAGGUGGCCGGGUUCCAGUUUUCCGGCGGCUGGGGCACCUGCCGGCGGCCGGGGUGCGCGCAUGGGUUGGACAGGGACCUGCUGAAGGUAGUUAGGGCACAGCUGGGGGACAAGGUCGGCCAGAUCUAGGGUUUCGUGCAAAGAAACCCUAGAUGCAAUUUAUAUACAAGUGGACUUUUGCAGAUAACCCCUCCGACACAAAACAUUUAAACCUCAGCCCCUGUCAGGGAGUGCAAUAUGCGCGUAAGCACCUCGACGUUCAAAAUCACGCGAAACAACGCAUGAAAUAUUAGGGUUUUCACGAAGUUUCCGAUUUUGCCCAUUCAACCCCUCAGCGAACAUCUCGCAAUUUCAGAAGAUCCGUCCGUCGGAUUUCCGAUCGGAUCGCACCAGCGCGUUCAGCAUGACUGGGGAACUGAAUCUAGUUUGUUUCGUCUAAUAUGUUUGUCGAUUUGCGACGAAACCUACCCUCAUCGCUUCCACCAUAAAACACAUAUAUAGACCAUAUAUAUGUAAAUCCACUCAAACCCCUUUUUCUCGAAAAUCAUGCAUCAGAACCCAAUUCCGUCAGUGCCAUUGGGUCCGGAAUAGUGGAACCGGUCGAAACGAGCUAUUGGACAGCUAUGAACGGAGUCCGAUACGGGCCGAAAGCCAACUCUACUCCGCGGCUUCUCCGAAAAAUCGGGUUACUAUUCACUUUAAGUGAAAACUAAUAAUCGUGUAACUUCUCCGUUCCAACUUAUUUUUUACUGAAACUUGACGAGUGCUUAUAUAAUUAAAUUACACACAAAAACAUCGUCAACAGAGAGUUUAGUUGCACUGUCAAAAUCUCAGUCCUUACACUUUGAUACUGUCAAAACAUCUUCCAUCUCACGGACAACCGUAGAAUAUUGAAAAUUGAUUUUGUAAGGAUGUAUAGUGGUCCUGUAGGAGCCGCUGCUCUGCCCCACUCCAAACUGGUUGAUCAUAUAAACUUUUCCUUCCGUAAAAAGGACUUUAAAUUUGUUCAGGAAAGCUUUUCUUACCGUUCCAUGUAUCCUAUCUCCCUAAAAUAGAAAAUAAACAAAUUAUAUAGUAUCUUUUAGUAAAAACAAAGCAAACGUAUGUUCAAUUUGAAAAUGAAAGUCGUAUCUUACAUUUUGAUCAGAAAGAACUAACUCUAGACUAUUC
rnacentral:lncRNA from 1 species